UACGGGGGGGGCAAGCGUUGUUCGGAAUUACUGGGCGUAAAGGGCUCGUAGGUGGCCAACUAAGUCAUACGUGAAAUCCCUCAGCUUAACUGGGGAACUGCGUCUGAUACUGGAUGGCUUGAGUUUGGGAGAGGGAUGCGGAAUUCCAGGUGUAGCGGUGAAAUGCGUAGAUAUGCGGAGGAACACCGAUGGCGAAGGCAGUCCCCUGGGCCUGCACUGACGCUCAUGCACGAAAGCGUGGGGAGCAAACAGG
rnacentral:rRNA from 1 species